rnacentral:rRNA from 1 species
UACAGAGGGGGCAAGCGUUGUUCGGAAUUACUGGGCGUAAAGGGCGCGUAGGCGGCCUCUUAAGUCGAACGUGAAAUCCCCGGGCUCAACCCGGGAACUGCGUCCGAUACUGGGGGGCUUGAAUCCGGGAGAGGGAUGUGGAAUUCCAGGUGUAGCGGUGAAAUGCGUAGAUAUCUGGAGGAACACCGGUGGCGAAGGCGGCAUCCUGGACCGGUAUUGACGCUGAGGCGCGAAAGCCAGGGGAGCGAACGGG